rnacentral:rRNA from 1 species
CCUACGGGAGGCAGCAGUAGGGAAUCUUCCACAAUGGGCGAAAGCCUGAUGGAGCAACGCCGCGUGGGUGAAGAAGGUCUUCGGAUCGUAAAACCCUGUUGUUAGAGAAGAAAGUGCGUGAGAGUAACUGUUCACGUUUCGACGGUAUCUAACCAGACAGCCACGGCUAACUACGUGCCAGCAGCCGCGGUAAUACGUAGGUGGCAAGCGUUAUCCGGAUUUAUUGGGCGUAAAGGGAACGCAGGCGGUCUUUUAAGUCUGAUGUGAAAGCCUUCGGCUUAACCGGAGUAGUGCAUUGGAAACUGGGAGACUGGAGGGCAGAAGAGGAGAGUGGAACUCCAUGUGUAGCGGUGAAAUGCGUAGAUAUAUGGAAGAACACCAGUGGCGAAAGCGGCUCUCUGGUCUGUAACUGACGCUGAGGUUCGAAAGCGUGGGUAGCAAACAGGAUUAGAUACCCCGGUAGUC